UGCUGAUGUCCCCCACCGGCUCCAUGGGCUGGAGGUUGGGACCUGAACCCAGGAGCGGGAGGGACGCGCUUAUUAUCGUGACAGAGCUGAUUUUAUUAUAUUUAAGAGAUUUUUUUUUUCUCCCCCUCCUCUCAUUGUUCAUCCGCGGGAGGGGAAGGAGAGACAAAAAAAAAAAAGGUCUAAAAGGGGUUCGUUUUGAUUGUGUUUAAUACAGCAUGAAGCUCGGAGCGGUAAGCUGUGCCUCGGUGUCGUGACCUCUAUAUUGAAAACUUCACCUUCAACACAAGUUCACUUUAGAGACAGGACGAGUUAGAUUGCGCUUGGUGGGAACAAGUGCAAAUUUAAAAACAGAGUCAAUCAUAACGGGGGUGGGGGCUGGGAAAGGGCAAUUUAACCGUUUCUGGAGCCAGGAGUUAAGGUUUGCAUUGUGUACAUCCAGGCGCUGGGGCUCCUGCUGAAGCCCAGCCACCCAUCAGGGCUGAGAAACCGGCUCCUGGAGCUCCGGAGAGGCUUUGGGAACACCUAACCAGCGUGGGGGAAGCUUAGGAAGCAAAAAGGAAUUUACAGAGUAUUAGCAGAAAUUAGCCAAUACCGACACAAGCUCAAUUAGUUCCUUUUUUUUUUUUUUUUUCGGUCUCUGUUGGCUGCUCUUGAACGUGAGUAAAUGCUGAGCAGGGAGAGAGGAGGGAGAGAGCCACACUGCCAUCUCCGAGCCACAGCCAGGAGAUGGACUGACAGAUUGCAAAUUAAACUAGUCCUAAUGUAAGAAUGAAUGCGCCCCCCCCCCCCCCCCCCCCCCCAAAUCUCUCCCAGCACCAGCCCGGCAGCAAAGAGCCCGGCACGGAGGGAGCGUGGCUGCGGCUGGGCUGGUCCAGGGAGGGACAAUAAAGCCAGUCCCGGGCAGAAAAAAUCACAAGGUGGAGCUGAAUACAGUGGUUAACUACAAGCAAUAUGUUCUGAAGAUGAUGGUGUUCAGACAAAUACCCAAUUUGAUUCUGAUAAAUUGGAUGCAAGACUUUGACCAGAAUGAGAAGAACAGGCAUUGUGGAAGCAGACAGCAUCCCAGACCUGUGGAGGAGCUCAGCAGGGGGAGAAAAUAUUCCCAAUGUCGUGUUGCUGCUGGUGGCUCAGGCAGUUUGAACAGAGGUCUGUGGUGGUCCAGCUUGUUGGAAACUUUUGUGCUCAAACCAGGAGGAUGCUACAGCUGGAGCUAAUACAUGAGUAAGUUUUCUGGAGGCCAUUAUGUCUCCCAGGGUUUUGAGGUUUUCUCUAAAGGAGACAUUGCUCUGUGUGUGAGGGAGUGAGAAAGAGCAUCGCCUCAAGGGUUUCAGUUAUCACACUGUCUAAAUAUCCCUUAUUUUUAGUUAGAGUCUUCUGAAUAUGAGAUCCCACUACAGGUAGGUGAAGUGACCUCUUUGGGUUUGAAUCUGCUCCUCUCUGGCGGAUGCAAAGCUGCAGCUUUGAACAGGAGCCCCCUCCUGCUCUGUGCAAAGCUCUUUGAAUUGCCCCUGAUAGGCUUCUAAGGCUCCCCGGUUGCAUGUGAGGCACUUUGAAGAUGAAUACCCAGAAUGAGGGAAACAUGAAACAAAACUGACUCCCUUAUGUCAGAGUGAGCAGCAGAUUCCUCAAAGACCUGCAGCACAAUGGUGUUCUUUGGUGGGUGAGAGGAAAUAGCCUGUGGUUCACCAGCUCGUCAGAGCAGAGUAAAAUUGCACAGGGUUGUGCUUUGGGUGGUAGAGCAGCAAAAGAAAGGUUUUGGGGGGGCUCCACAAUAUUCAAGUCUGGCAAAACUUGUUUCAGGUUGGCUUCCUUGGGUCUCACUUGAUGAAGGGAAAUUUAUUAUUAUUAAUUUUUCUUCCCCCAGAAUUUUGCUGUGUGUUCAAGGUGACAGAUGUGCCACAUCUUCUUGAGGGAGAAUAUUUUCCUUUGUCUCCAUGAAAAUCCUCAUCCCAGCUCCUUAAACUCUCAGGAUCCACCAUAGUUUUCUGGUACAUUUUGGUGGUGACCACCCACAGUCCUGGGAGCUGAAGGGCCCUUGGGGGGGUGGCACAGCUGUAGGAAGUUUUUUGUUAUUCGCCUUAUUCCAAAUAUUACUGUGACAGUUGGCAU
ensembl:lncRNA